rnacentral:rRNA from 1 species
GACGAACGCUGGCGGCGUGCCUAACACAUGCAAGUCGAACGGAGAUACGAUUUCGGUUGUAUCUUAGUGGCGAACGGGUGAGUAACGCGUGAACAACCUGACUCUAAGAGGGGGAUAACACUCGGAAACGGGUGCUAAUACCGCAUAAGACCACGACCCGGCAUCGGGAUGAGGUCAAAGGAGCAAUCCGCUGAGAGAGGGGUUCGCGUCCCAUUAGAUAGAUGGCGGGGUAACGGCCCACCAUGUCAACGAUGGGUAGCCGAGCUGAGAGGCUGAUCGGCCACACUGGAACUGGGACACGGUCCAGACUCCUACGGGAGGCAGCAGUGGGGAAUAUUGGGCAAUGGGCGCAAGCCUGACCCAGCAACGCCGCGUGAGGGAAGAAGGCUUUCGGGUUGUAAACCUCUGUCCUUGGUGACGAAACAAAUGACGGUAGCCAAGGAGGAAGCCCCGGCUAACUACGUGCCAGCCGCCGCAGUAAUAC